rnacentral:rRNA from 1 species
AUAUUAAAGUUGUUGCAGUUAAAAAGCUCGUAGUUGAACCUUUGGCCUGGCUGGCAGGUCCGCCUCACCGCGUGCACUUGUCCGGCCGGGCCUUUUCUUCUGGAGAACCGCAUGCCCUUCACUGGGUGUGUUGGGGACCAGGACUUUUACUUUGAAAAAAUUAGAGUGUUCAAAGCAGGCCUUUGCUCGAAUACGUUAGCAUGGAAUAAUAGAAUAGGACGUUGCGGUCCUAUUUUGUUGGUUUCUAGGACCGCCGUAAUGAUUAAUAGGGACAGUCGGGGGCAUCAGUAUUCAAUUGUCAGAGGUGAAAUUCUUGGAUUUAUUGAAGACUAACUACUGCGAAACGAUUUGCCAAGGAUGUUUUCAUUAAUCAGUGAACGAAAGUUAGGGGAUCGAAGACGAUCAGAUACGUCGUAGUCUUAACCA